rnacentral:misc_RNA from 1 species
GAUGAAAACGUAGCAAAAUGCGAUAAGUAAUGUGAAUUGCAGAAUUCAGUGAAUCAUCGAAUCUUUGAACGCACAUUGCGCCCGCCAGUAUUCUGGCGGGCAUGCCUGUUCGAGCGUCAUUUCAACCCUCAAGCACAGCUUGGUGUUGGGACUCGCGUUAAUUCGCGUUCCUCAAAUUGAUUGGCGGUCACGUCGAGCUUCCAUAGCGUAGUAGUAAAACCCUCGUUACUGGUAAUCGUCGCGGCCACGCCGUUAAACCCCAACUUCUGAAUGUUGACCUCGGAUCAGGUAGGAAUACCCGCUGAACUUAAGCAUAUCAAUAAGCGGAGGA